CAGAGGAUAAACAGCUGAUGCAAGUUGGCUUUCUUUUCCUUUCAUUUCUUUAGUUUUCCUCUCUCAGUCAACAGACAGCAAAGAUAGUCCCAUUUGAAAAGAUAUUGGUCAAACAGUGAUGCAGGGCAGAAAUGUGAUAGCUUUGGUUUCAGUGAAGAUUAAAAUGCUUUUCUGUCUACAAACUUUUGUAACUCUUCACUUAUAAUGAAAGUUAUCAGCCUCACGUUGUUGCAGCGCUCUGAAAGUGUAAUGAGAAUUUUUUAUUUGUUCGUUUCAGCCAGUCUUCAAACUCUAAAUAAGUUUUACAGUCUUGCAGAUAACUUGCAUCUUGAAUUUUUUACUAUCUUUAACAACCUCCACUUGUCCAUACAGGACAUCUGAGAGCUUUGACAGCUGACAUAUAACUGCAACAUGAAACCUGCUUUUUUGGUAAAGUUGGAAUCUGCAGUCUCCUAAAUAAUAUUUGACUUGUUUUAAUCAACUUCUGUUCUUGGACCAUUGAUACUGCCACCAUCUGAUACAAAGCUAUUUUAGCAAGCAUCCACAAAAAAACAUGGUUAAUGUUUUUUAUUUUUUUUAUUUCAUGAAAUCAGACACGUUUUGCUUCAAAAUGUUUCAGCUUGGAAAACUUUAGUAACUUUGCAGACGGAUGACAUUUACAAAUGUUGUCCUGUAGAGGGCAGUAUAACUCUGAGUAUUGCAGAGUUGUGCUUGAGAAUGAAAGUGGAGGAGGUACUGGUUCAUUCUUUGUGAGAGUGUGUGUGUGUGUGUGUGCGUUUGUUGCAUGCAUACUGAACGUGUGUAUCUGUAUAUGUGUGUGCAUACAUGUGUGUUAGCCCACCUGUGUGGGACCCAGUGUGUGUUUGCCUGCAGGUUAUAGUGUUGCCCACUGGGAAUUCCUGGCUGUGCCUCUUUGAAGUGAGACUGCUCUUGUCUGAUAAACAGAGAGCGGAGCAGGUGUUGGAGCUGGCUGACUCAUCCGUUCAGCAUGUGAUCUUUGCAUUCAUCACUGUACUCACUGAUCUCACCGUAAGAGAAACAUGCUAUACCUAAUAAAGCAAACGUGAAACGCAGCGUGCGUCCAUAUGUGUCAUUGCAUACUUCAUUGUGAAACUGUUUGAUGUGUCAGACAGAUCAUAUUAUGUGUGUCAUUGUUAUCUUACACAGGAUCACAACACUUCUACUCAAAUCAUAAAUGACUCAAACAGAUAUUUGCCGUCUAACUGACAACUCUGCUGCUGAAUGAACAGCUUCUGACAGAAUUUUUAAAGACGUAUGAAAAGUAAAGUUAAUUAACAGCCUCAACUUAACUUUUUUCUCUCUUUCCAGAUGACACCUGCCCCUAACGACCAUGGCUGUAGACUGUUACCAUGGUGCCGUUGCUAGAGUAACAAUCUAAAGCCACGGUCGCCAUGGAGACAGCAGGGUGGAGGAGAAACUGGAGUUGGCAUGCACUGAGCCGUCUGGACAGCGACACAGCGACGCUCUGGAUCGGUGCUGUCCGCGGUGCUGAACGGGACGGAGACCCUGACAGCUGGGAGGCAACGCAGAGGCUUCACUUAAACACAGCAGACUGCGUAGUCACAGCUCCUAAAUCUGGCUUUAUGGUGACUUUUACAAGCAGAAUAAAAGGCUAUUAGUAGAA